rnacentral:rRNA from 1 species
GGAAUUUUGCGCAAUGGGCGAAAGCCUGACGCAGCAACGUCGCGUGAGUGAUGAAGGCCUUCGGGUCGUAAAGCUCUGUCAGAGGGGAAGAACCACCUGUCGGUUAAUAUCCGGCAGGCCUGACGGUACCCUCCAAGGAAGCACCGGCUAACUCCGCGCCCGCAGCCGCGGUAAUACGGAGGGUGCAAGCGUUGUGCGGAAUUAUUGGGCGUAAAGCGCGUGUAGGCGGUCUGUUAAGUCUGAUGUGAAAGCCCCGGGCUCAACCCGGGAAGUGCAUUGGAAACUGGCAGACUUGAGUACGGGAGAGGGUAGUGGAAUUCCGAGUGUAGGGGUGAAAUCCGUAGAUAUUCGGAGGAACACCGGUGGCGAAGGCGGCUACCUGGACCGAUACUGACGCUGAGACGCGAAAGCCAGGGGAGCAAAC